GCCAAUUUCUAUUGUUUUCUGUCAGUGGAAGCACGUGUCUAUUGUAAUUGAAGAUAUUUCAUUUAUAAACCCAGAUUUAUGUAUCAUUACCGAAUAACAAAUGACAUUGGCAUCUAAGAAUGGUAUACAUCAUCAAUAUCCUUGUUUAAAGACUCAAAAGAAAAUCUUAUGCAGAACACACAUAACUCUGCUUAUAUAAAUCUUUGGAAUAUUACAGCCAAACAUUUUCUCCUGAACUCAGAUUGAUAACAACAACUGCUUUCUUGACUGUCUGGAAUGUGUCCAAGAUUAUUUUGCAUCUGAAACGAACUUCAGUGGAUUUAUAAAGGGAUUUGCAACGUCCAUGAUAUAUCAGCAAAGAUCACAGUAGUAUAAAUAUUUAUUAGCAAUAAAAUAUAUAAAAGUUAAGAAGAUAAACACCUGGAAAUUGUAGUGAGGAAAGAACAAUGAUGGAAAAUGAAUUAUGUGAGAAUAAGUUUGAAUCUAAAUUACAGAUUGGAAGCAUUGGUUUUUCCAGUGAUAUAAAGGAAGAGAAACUGAAAACAUCCUAUCACUGUGAUAUCUGUGGUAAAUCAUUUU